rnacentral:rRNA from 1 species
AUUGAACGCUGGCGGCAUGCCUUACACAUGCAAGUCGAACGGUAACAGGUUAAGCUGACGAGUGGCGAACGGGUGAGAAUGUAUCGGAACGUGCCCAGUCGUGGGGGAUAACUACCCGAAAGAGUGGCUAAUUCCGCAUACGACCUGAGGGUGAAAGCGGGGGACCGUAAGGCCUCGCGCGAUUGGAGCGGCCGAUAUCAGAUUAGCUAGUUGGUGGGGUAAAAGCCCACCAAGGCGACGAUCUGUAGCUGGUCUGAGAGGACGACCAGCCACACUGGGAUUGAGACACGGCCCAGACUCCUACGGGAGGCAGCAGUGGGGAAUUUUGGACAAUGGACGCAAGUCUGAUCCAGCCAUGCCGCGUGCGGGAAGAAGGCCUUCGGGUUGUAAACCGCUUUUGUCAGGGAAGAAACGAGUUUCUCUAAUACAGAGACUUAAUGACGGUACCUGAAGAAUAAGUACCGGCUAACUACGUGCCAGCCGCCGCGGUAACAC